rnacentral:rRNA from 1 species
UCAGGGGUAAACCUGAGAAACCCGAAAGGUCGAAUGGGGAAAUUCAUUCGCGUUUCGAUUGUCGGCGUUGAACGGUUGUGUGACUGACGGAGUACGCUUCGUUCGCACCUUCAGUUUUUCGAACCGACUUCGAACGCGUGCACUUUUCCCCUAGUAGGACGUCGCGAUCCGUUGGGUGUCGGUCUAAGGCCUGCGGUGGAGCUCGCGCGGACGUUUCGAUGUUCUGCACGAACCCGCAGUGUCCCGAUCGACUCGCUCGACGGUAUAAAGAUGGCGCGGGGCCGCUACUCAGUUAGCGUUCGGCCUACGGCAAGCACGUACGGUGUUUGACGGCGAUCAGACCUGGUCGGAUCCCGUCCCCGGACGACUGUUGGCACGUAGUGUUCUCGAACAGACCUCGUUGAAAUGCCGAUCUGCGACGCUAUAGCUUUGGUACUUUCAGGACCCGUCUUGAAACA